GUGAAAUUGUUGAAAGGGAAGCACUUGAAGUCAGCCAUGCUGCUUGAGACUCAGCCUGGCUUUUGCUUGGUGUAUUUCUCGGUAGCAAGCCAGCAUUGGUUUGUGUCGUCGGAGAAGCGUAUGGGGAAUGUGGCAUCCUCGGAUGUGUUAUAGCCCUGUGCAGGAUACGACGACGUAGACCAAGGAACGCAGUGUGCCCUCUGGGCGGGUCUUCGGACACCUUCACACUGAGGAUGCUGGCGUAAUGGCUUUAAGUGGCCCGUCUUGAAACACGGACCAAGGAGUC
rnacentral:rRNA from 1 species